AAGUCGUAACAAGGUUUCCGUAGGUGAACCUGCGGAAGGAUCAUUAAUGAAUGAUAAUUUUUUGGGGUUUUCCCUGAAAAAUAAUUCACCAUUUGUGCAUUGUUAUUAGAUAUACUUUGGUUAGAGCUUUGAUUUCAUUUAUUGGAAUCAACUUCUUGCUGACUCUAUCCUUUUUAAAGGACAGUUGACUAUGAAGCGGCCUACCAAGGUUUUUUAUCAAACUCUUGUAUUUUAUCUGACCUAAACUAUUAUAAUUAAACCAUAACUUUCAACAACGGAUCUCUUGGCUCUC
rnacentral:misc_RNA from 1 species